GGAGGAGGGGUGGGGACGGCGGGUGAUCAAUCUCAACCUCGUCGGCAUUUCUACACCUGUCCAUUGAUUUUGAGCUUGUAUGGGUUAAUGGGUAGUUGUUUUAAUUUCUACUGAAGUCCAUUGAUCGUGGGGGGGAAAAUCUACGUUUUGUGGUGAAUAGUUCUCUGUUUCUAUUGGGUUGGAACUGAUGUACUGGAAGAUGAUCAAAACAGUGAAGCUGAAGAACCUGGUUCUUUACCAAGUGAACCUGAUCGCUCUCCUGGUGCUCGUCCUAGAAGCUGAAAAAAUCUACGCUUUAUAUGGUUACCUUGUAUUUAUAGAGUUCUCUACAACCCAGAGCAUUCGGAUGGACAUUGUAUAUAUGUUUAUAAAUUCUUUGUAAUUCUUAACUUCAAUGUAAUCGCUAUUGUUUUGUC